rnacentral:rRNA from 1 species
UCCAGCCUGCCCAGUGACAAAGUUCAACGGCCGCGGUACCCUAACCGCGCGAAGGUAGCAUAAUCACUUGUUCCUUAAAUAGGGACUAGUAUCAACGGCAUCACGAGGGUCCCACUGUCUCCUCUCUCCAAUCAACGAAACUGAUCUCUCCGUGAAGAAGCGGAGAUUAAAAUAUAAGACGAGAAGACCCCAUGGAGCUUUAAGCCUAUAUACACCCCUAUUCACUAUGCCCUUUUAAUAACAGACUCCUGUAUAACAGCUUUAGGUUGGGGUGACCGCGGAGCACAAACAAACCUCCACGAUGAACCGGACUAACCCGUUAUCAAAGAAAUACACCUCUAAGAAUUAGCACACUAACAUAAAAUGAUCCGACAAUCGAUCAACGAACCAAGUUACCCUGGGGAUAACAGCGCAAUCCACUUUAAGAGCUCCUAUCGACAAGCGGGUUUACGACCUCGAUGUUGGAUCAGGGUAUCCUAGUGGUGCAGCAGCUACUAAAGGUUCGUUUGUUCAACGAUUAAAACCCU